UACGGGGGGAGCAAGCGUUGUUCGGAUUUACUGGGCGUAAAGGGCGCGUAGGCGGCCACCGCAAGUCGACUGUGAAAUCUCCGGGCUUAACCCGGAAAGGUCAGCCGAUACUGCGGGGCUAGAGUGCAGAAGGGGCAACUGGAAUUCUCGGUGUAGCGGUGAAAUGCGUAGAUAUCGAGAGGAACACCUGCGGCGAAGGCGGGUUGCUGGGCUGACACUGACGCUGAUGUGCGCAAGCUAGGGGAGCGAACGGG
rnacentral:rRNA from 1 species